ACAUUGACCAGAUUUUGAGUGCCCUUUCCAGGAACUGUAAGAGCAGGAAGUCCAGAUGCUUCUGAGAGGACCCCAGCUUCUAAUUCCCAUUUGUAGACGGCUCAGAUCAAGACAAUCUCUUCAUGAAACAACUCAACACCUACUAAGGACUCAGAGAGCUUUCCCAAGGACCUUUUUUGUACCAAGACAGAAGGACCAAAACCAUCAGCUUUAAAGAAAACUGUGCCCUUCCC
rnacentral:sRNA from 1 species